rnacentral:rRNA from 1 species
UACGGGGGGGGUAAGCGUUGUUCGGAAUUACUGGGCGUAAAGGGCUCGUAGGCGGCCAACUAAGUCAUACGUGAAAUCCCUCGGCUUAACCGGGGAACUGCGCAUGAUACUGGAUGGCUUGAGUUUGGGAGAGGGAUGCGGAAUUCCAGGUGUAGCGGUGAAAUGCGUAGAUAUCUGGAGGAACACCGGUGGCGAAGGCGGCAUCCUGGACCAACACUGACACUGAGGAGCGAAAGCCAGGGGAGCAAACGGG